rnacentral:siRNA from 1 species
UGCCCGUUAUGAUGUCGGCAAAG